GCGGCGUCGCUGGGGGCGCGGCGUCGCGGAGCUCGGGCCGGUGGAAGGUUUACCUGCUAGGCUCGUCCCACCUGUGUGGAGCUCCCAUCGCCCUCCAGCGUUGCGCAGCCUGAAGGGACAGGACGGACACGCGGGUGCCUCCUUCUAAUUCAUCUUCACCAUUGUGGUUGUCAAUAUGGCAUGCAGAAUUAUCCCUCUUUCCAGCUUCUGGAGUCUACCUGGAUUCCUGGGCUCAUGGCCCCUUCCUCCAUCUUCAAACCAGCAAUGAUUGGAACGACCUGGAGCAGCCAGCAGAGUGACAAAUGAGGAAGAGGACAGAACCUAGCUGAAGAAGCUCUGGAAGAUACCAUUUGAAGUCUUGAGUGCUUGAACUCACAAAGAAAGCACGUGAGUACACACUAGCACUUGAGCUCUUCAUUUUAAACAGAAUAAAGAAUGUACUGCUAUUAUUGUCAUUUUACAGAUAGGGAAAUUCAGACUCACCAGGGCUACCCAGAUACAAAGAAAAUGAGCCAGAAUUUCAAGCAAGCCUGAGCUUAGAAUCUACACUAUUUUUUUUUUUUUUUUGAGACAUGGUCUUACUUUGUCACCCAGGCUGGAGUUCAGUGGUAUUAGGUUGGCACAAAAGUAAUUGUGGUCUUUGCCACUUAAAACUAGAGCCCGAAACUGCAAUUACUUUUGCACCAACCUAAUGCACUUACCAGAGCUCACUUACGCCUUGACCUCCUGGGCUCAAGUGAUUCUCCCACCUCAGCCUCCCAAGUGGCUGGGAAUAUGGGCAUGCACCACCCUGCCCAGCUAGCUUUUCUUUUUUUUUUUUUUUUUGUGGAGACAGGAUUUUGCCAUGUUGUCCCGGCUGGUCUUUAACUCCUGAGCUCAAACUAUCCUUCUGCCCUGGCCUCCCAAAGUUCUGGGAUUACAGGCAUGAGCCACUGUGCCCGGCCCAGAACCUAUGCUCCUAACUGCCACACCAAUUGACCUCUAUUCAGCCAUUUUUAUUUCUAUAGCACUUGGUAUAAUUUCACUUUGCACACAGUAUCUAUAGAUAAUCAUUCCAGGGCAUGUAAUCGUCAUAAGGUUAUUUAUGUUGUUGCAUGUGUAUUACUGCAUGUAAUCUUCACGUGUUAUUGCCUCUAACAAGUUAUGUAUUUCCAUGUAGUCUUCAUAACUGUGUAUAGAAGGCCAUUUUAGAGAUGGAAAACUGAGACUCAGAAGUGGUAAUUGUCCUACUGGUCAGAGAUUUAGCCAGGGUUUGGAUUGUGGAAUGCAGAGGACCACUUACUUUUCACUAGACCAUAAAUGCUCCUCACCACUGAGGCAUGUCAAAUGCCAGAUAUGUCCAGGAACCUUAGGCUACGUCUCCAUUUUUUUUGCUUUUUCCCCGCUUAGACACAGCUUGGCGAAGAACAAAUGAUCCCAAACACCAAACAGCACACUUGGAAACAUUUAACCCGCAUACUUUCAGACUUUCUGGCAUGGACCAACCUGUUGUCUUACCUUUGUUCCUGGCCAGAAAGAAAUGGCAUGAAAGGAUGGACAGUUUUUAUAACCUCUUUGAGCUCUAAACCAUGUUUCCUGUGCACUUAGGAGAUCUUAAUAGAAACCAAGUACUUCUUUUAGGCAUCUAUACUCUUAAUGCCGUAAGUCAAGUCAAGUACCCUGGUGGUUAAGAUAACUGUACCAACAGAAACAUUUUUAAAAAAUAUCCUAACACAACACGAAGUGACCAUCGCGAAUUCAAAGAAGCAGGCAUAUUUCUUAAACGUUGAAAAGAGGUGAGUCUUUCACAAGAUUCUAGCUCAAGGCCAUAUUUGCACAAGUAUAGUCAUUCCUCUAGCAAGGUUUUGUUUAUCUGGCCAUUAAAAAAAUUAAAACAA
rnacentral:lncRNA from 1 species